rnacentral:misc_RNA from 1 species
UAUGCUUCGAAACAGAAUGUUGGCGGAUCCAUCUUUCUUGUUCAAAAUCGGAACAGAGAUAAUUAUUGAUUCUUGUUGUGCUACAUUUGCGGAAAUUCAAAAGAGGGGUAAUGACUUCUGGGCAGAGUUUGAACUGUUUGUUGCUGACCUUUUGGUUGGUGUCGUGGUAAACGUUGCUUUGGUUGGCAUGCUGGCACCCUAUGUACGUAUUGGGCAACCAUCUGUAUCUAAAGGGUUAUUUGGACGGCUAUUACAUGCUUAU